rnacentral:rRNA from 1 species
AAGCAACCUGCCCACUACUGGGGGAUAGCCUUGCGAAAGCGGGGGUAAACCCGCAUGGUCCUUUUUUCUCACCUGAGGAGCUAGGUAAACAUUUAUGGGUAGUGGAGGGGCUUGCGUCUGAUUAGCUAGUUGGCGGGGUGAAGGCCCACCAAGGCGACGAUCAGUAGGGGUUCUGAGAGGAUUGGCCCCCACAUGGGUACUGAGACACGGACCCAACUCCUACGGGAGGCAGCAGUAGGGAAUAUUGGGCAAUGGAGGCAACUCUGACCCAGCCAUGCCGCGUGCAGGAUGAAGGCGCUCAGCGUUGUAAACUGCUUUUAACUGGGAAGAACGGCAUUUUUGCGAAGAUGUGUGACGGUACCAGUGGAAUAAGCACCGGCUAACUCUGUGCCAGCAGCCGCGGUAAUACAGAGGGUGCGAGCGUUAAUCGGAUUUACUGGGCGUAAAGGGCGCGUAGGUGGUUAUGUAAGUGAGAUGUGAAAUCCCUGGGCUUAACCUAGGAACUGCAUCUCAUACUGCGUAGCUAGAGUAUUGUAGAGGGUAGUGGAAUUUCCGGU